rnacentral:rRNA from 1 species
GAUGAACGCUAGCGGCAGGCCUAAUACAUGCAAGUCGAACGGGAUCUGAGGGUAGCUUGCUACCCGAUUUGAGAGUGGCGCACGGGUGCGUAGCGCGUGAGCAACCUACCCAUAUCAAGGGGACAGCCCGGAGAAAUUCGGAUUAACACAGCAUAAUAAUGUAUUAACACAUGUUAAAGCAUUUAAAUAUUUAUAGGAUAUGGAUGGGCUCGCGUGACAUUAGCUAGUUGGUGAGGUAACGGCUCACCAAGGCGACGAUGGCUAGGGGCUCUGAGAGGGGAAUCCCCCACACUGGUACUGAGACACGGACCAGACUCCUACGGGAGGCAGCAGUAAGGAAUAUUGGUCAAUGGGCGGAAGCCUGAACCAGCCAUGCCGCGUGCAGGAUGACUGCCCUAUGGGUUGUAAACUGCUUUUGUCGAGGAAUAAACCUAUCUACGUGUAGCUAGUUGAACGUACUCGAAGAAUAAGGAUCGACUAACUCCGUGCCAGCAGCCGCCGUAA